rnacentral:lncRNA from 1 species
GAAUAAUUUCGAUCUGAAAACGCGUUCCGUCGGCGGAUUUUGCCGACGAACGCACCGAAAGUCAAUUUCCGGUCUUCGCAAAGGCUUGGGGCCUUGGACAAUCAGUCCAGAGGUCACCCAUUGCCUGUACACGCUGCCCACAGCGACCACGACAAACAAAAUUGCAUAAAAGCCCUCCCGAUUACCUGAAAUCACAUUAUUUUAUGUGAUUUCGGCGCUUUUAUGGUCCGUCUACACAAACUAGAAGUCAUUCAGCCAAACCGAGACACCUACUGACAGGUCUCGGUGUGCCGGAGGCCGUGCUCACCUUUCAGAGCACUGCCGGCCACUGUGGCACGCGCACGAGCGAUGCGAAAAUCAGUGAAACAGCGCGCACAGCGCUAAGGUCGCGUCUAAUACACAAACCAGGGCAUCUUUAACCCUGCCGGAGGUGAACACGAUGUUCAGCACGAGUCGUAGAUCAUCGUGCUCACUUCCCGAGGUGAAGGAGACUUAUCGGAUCACCGGAAAGGUGACCGGAAACGUAAGACUAUGUGCUGGAACAUAAAAAUAGCAUACCAGAGUCAGGGAGAGCUAGGGUUGGUCGCCGGCGGCCGGACGGCUGGCGGUACGGCCAGGGAAGGGUGCGGCUGGUCAGUGUGGUCCGGGGAACCUGCUGGCCGGCGGCGGGAGGCGGCCGGUGGCACGGCGGCUGCGAUCCAAUCGGCCAAGCUGCUCUCGGGUUCAAGGGCGUCGGCGAUAAGGCGGCGGCCGGAAGAGCCCGGGAUUGCGACGAUCCGUCGCCGGAGGUCGAGGAGGAGGUGGCGCGCACGGCGCAUGGCGGCGGGGGCGCACGGUGGCGGUGUUGGCUCCGCCUUGACCCGCACCAGAUCUGGGCGGCCGCAGGAUGGAAGAGCGGCAGCCGGCAGCGCACAGGGAUGGCGGGGAAGCGCGCCGAAAGUCGCCGGAAGGCGGCGCGGCCAAUGGGGAGCGGUGGCCGCACGCGAAACCUGAGCUCGAGCCUGCUCGGUCUGGGUUGACCCGAGCUGGCCGCAGCUCGCUCAGCUGGCUCCAGCGGCGCGUGCUGACGGCAGAAACGUCUGGUAAUGGUGCCGGACGUUGGUCUCGGCUUGAGGAUGGUGGCGCUCAGACUUAGAUGACUCCUUGAGACCCCCAACCACAACAUGGUGGAGUGGUUGGCUGAGAAGGAGGGAGAAGGUGGUACGGAAGGGUUUUUCGGUGGCCGAAGAAGCUCACCGGCGGUCAGGGCGCGCGCGUACGGCAGGGCAGCGAUGAAGCUAACGACGGCUAGGGUUAGCUGGUAGCUGGGUGGACUCGGGUUAGGGUUUCCUUUGUGAAACCCGAGCUAACCUAUAUAUAUAUAGGUGAAAAUUGCUGAAAAGUCCUCCGUAGCCCACUAAUCUCAACUAGGUUCCCUGCCAGUAAGUGAACAUUGCGCAGAAGCCCCUCGACGUUUGAAUUCACGCAAAACGGCACAUAAAAUAUAGGGUCUAUUCACGAUUUAUCUGUUUUGGCAAUUUGACCCCUCAGCGGACUUUUCGCGAUUCCCGAAGAUACGUCAGUCGGAUUUCCGAACGGAUUGCUCCAGCGCGUUCAGCAUGGCUGGGGCAUCAAAUCUAGUAUUUUGUUUCGUCCGAUUUGGUCUUCGAUUGGCGACAAAACCAACCCUCUUUGCUUCCACCACAUAACCACCUAUAUUAAUAUAUGUGAAAUCAAUCAAACCCCUUUUUCCUGACAACCGAGCAUUGGAACCCAAUUCCGUCAGUGCCAUUGGGUUCAGAAUAGUCGAGCCGUUCGAAGCGAGCUAUUGGAGUCCUAUGUUUGGAGUCCAAUACACACCAGAACCCUUCUCUACUCACUGGCUCAUCCGAAAAGUCGGAGUUACUAUUCACUUUAAGUCAUCGGUCCUGGUUGCUUAACUUUUCCAUUCUAUCUCGUUUUCUCCCGAAACUUGACGAGUGCUUAUGUAAUUAAAUUACACACAAAAAUAUCGUCAACAGAGAGUUCAGCUAUACUAUCAAAAUCUCAAUCCUUACAUUAUCCCCCCUUAAAAGAAGUUUCGUCCCCAAAACUUGACCACGUACCCACCGUAAAUGAAUUCAGACAUUACUCUGCCACUGCGAUAUCACCUUGAGUACUGGUCAGUUACAAUAUGCUUGAAUCUGGACGGAUCAACCUCUCAAAGGUGGGGAGAAAAGUAUUGCAGUUCCACUCGGAUUAGACGAGGGAAAACAUACUAACCCAAAAUCUACGGACCAAAACUCACCGGGAUCAACACCAUCCUAUAACCUGCGGACAAAGACAGUCCCGCGACCAGGAUUAUCAAAUCCCAAAUUACCAACUCUGAGAUAAAAAUUCUCCACUCAGAAACUUUAGAUACACUCUACGUUAAUCCGCAUACCAGUAACCGACUCGACUACGUCGAAGGUUCACGUAGAAGAGAUACACCACAAGUCUGGAGUUUAUUUUCAUAGGCCGAAAAGACAUACUCUGACUAACCAACAACGUUAACCUGCUCACCACGAGUGAUUACGAAGCGUUGUUCCGACAACCGAGACAAUAACACUCACUAUAGAGACCACAGUCUCCCACCAGAUAACCACACAACUGCAAAAACCUCCAUCAACGGAAAGUCACAUGCAGUAUUCUACAGUCCUAGGUCCAAGACCUCACUUUCCACCAGACCAAAAGGUCCAAGGCUGACAAUACCAAUUGAGCUGGACAAUUUGUUCGCUUAAUAUUUCAAUCCAACCAACAUACGUCUCAUGCAAGUCCAUUACUUGGUGCACAGGAUCGCCAAUCGCAAUAUGCGAUACUAACCAUCGGUGAUGCCCAACACUUGUCUCUACGAAACCCUGUCGCUGCCGUCCUACAAAGGACCCUAGCGAUCGAUGUUCCCAGUAACACCCAAAUACCUGUCUCAUUGAGACCCAGGCGCACCUGUCACCAAAUAACCGGACAAGCAUACCACUCCAAGGUUUGCACGAUAAGCUAAGUCGCAAACCUUACACGCUAUCACAUACGGUGACAAUCAAAACCAACAACCAGGCUUAAGUCACUCAACAACUGUGAUUCUACCUCCCGGCAAACAGAUCGAGACUACUAACCAACCAAACCUUUUAGCAGUGGGAAGCACAACUAAAGAACUAACGAGCACCUAGACUCAACCAGAGUCGAAACCAUCAUCAGUGACGAUAAACCAACUGCGCAAAACCUACUAGGGAAUAAUCCAAAGCUCACUAUGUGGUUAGAGAUGACCAACACUCAAGAUUUCCCAAGACAAUCUAGAGAAAAAUACCGACCCAAUCCAUGAGUCCCAAACGGGAAGAGGGUAUUUCGUCCCAACUUUCGACAGUAUAUUGUCUGCAGCCAAUGUACUUAUCAAAAGAAAAGCGAAAUACCGAAGAUCUACUACCAACAACAAGUUGGAAGCACGACACGUCGAAGUAUUAAGCCACUUGAUAUCUCUUCACUGAACCAAAAGUUCAUAACCAAAACCGUCAAAACAUCGACUUUGCAAGUCGACAUUCGAAACAAGAUCGACCCAGAACUGACUCUCUGGGAGUCCCAUAGCUUUCAACAUCCGAAAGCUGCUUACGACUAAGCCGCGAACCGUACAAACUGAGGCUUUAGGAAACGGUUUUUCCAACCGAUUUCUGCACCACAUCCGAGCUAUAAUCAGAGCUCCGAGAACUCCGACAAUACAAUGAACCCUACCACAAACCACAGACUAACCCACAACACACCAAUUUGGGUAUUAGGAUAACCGCAUACGAUGUAUGCAUCAAUAGAGAUCUGACACCAAAACUGUGUCAAUCUGAUUCUAAUACAUGUCAAUUUGACGAAUGAACUAGUUAUAGGUCAAAAGGCUCAAACCGCUGAUUUCAUCAGCAAUCAAGGAAGAGAGGUAGGCAUCAAAACCCUACUCCAAGAUCUAAGGAAGAAUCAACAACAUUGCAGUCGCCUAACCGACCGCUACUAUAACCUUGGGCUACACUCUAGUAGCCCCACAGAAGCCGCGACCGUAACUGGUCUUAGUGCCGUCUCCGUAGAGACACUCCCAGUAGCUCUCGUGCCCUCAGUAGGAAGAGUGGCCUGGGCGUCGGCAGUUAAGACACUCGUCUAGGCCCAAUAAUCAUUGGCCCAUCAAGGCCCCACCUGACAGGAAUGGCUACACCUGGGUAACUUCACCCCGCCACUCAAUGUCAUAAGUACACCACCACUACUCCCAACUGAGACACCAGCUUGUGCGAAAGUCGUAGCACACACGGAAAUAACGGUGCACUCGAGUUUACCAAACUCGUCAUGCACACCGAGACACCAGCCCAAACCCCGGACUCAUGUGCCCAUACACCGUAGGUCUUCCUAUGGGUCAACCUAACCAAUGGUUCAGUUUCAUUUACUUUUCAAAACAACCUGUGAAAUGUGUUGUGGUUGUAACUCGGCUCUAACACCACUUUAAUCUGUCACGCCCCGGGGUCCCUUUUAGUUUGAAACAUAGCGGAAAAGCGUCUAAAUUUUUUUUUGAAAACCUGACCCCAGGGUAUGCCAGAUCCGCCACAAAUAUAGAAAAUUCACUGUUCACACGGAUAGAGUCUCCCCUGUAUUUGCACGGCGUCGCACAAGUACAACAAGUAAACCGAAUGCAACCACAACUAAAUGAAUAUAGAGAUAACUAUACAUUCAUACAUUCACCAUUCACAUCACAGAUUUACAUUCAAUGUCUAACAUAAAUCCACAGAAAGCCUUUUGAAACCUGUUCCCUACACGGAAACUUUUAUCUUUUAAAAACGCUACCACGAGAGAUAGAAAACCUUUUGUUUACGAAAACUAUUAAUCCUUUUUAUUACUUUUACAAAGCCAAAUCCAAAUAUAAUAAUUAACUGAAAUACCAAAAACUGAACAAUGAUAUGUCUAAGUUAUACCAACAGAAAUAAAAAGGACGACGACUAAACCGAACAAACCGGGUCGGAAGCUCUAACGACCGCUACGAACGUGUCUCAUGUCUCGUCUCACCCUCACCGCUCGCAAUACCUAAAAAAUAGUAGGGGAGGUGAGAAUAUAUAAACAUAUCUCCCCUUCCAGUGGGUACCGCAAGCCGAAGAAGGCGAGGAGUACUCACCGGGUCAGGAAGAGAUAAAUAAUAUAGGUAAGUGAAAUACAGUAGCAAUGAUAAUGAACGAAUGAGAUAUAUAUAUGAAAGAACAACUACCGCUACUGUAACGAAGAACUGAAAGCAUACAAGGAUAUCAAAACUAUAGUAGCAAGACAACUGUAAAGAAUACUGUAAGUAUACAUGCAACAACCGUUACUAUAACUAUAUGCGCCAACCGGACGAUAAGUCCAAAUAUACCCAAUCUGAAAACUUGGCCCUGUUGGUGCGCACGGCAGACCUCAAGCCUAUGCCACUGCCACUCUACCGUGUAUAACCCAAGGUAGCCUAUGGGCUCACAGCCUGCAUAUAACCCAAGGUAGCCUAUAGGCUCACGGGUUGGCACACCCAACCACUUUUUCGGAAAAGAACACCCUUUUGCGGUGGAUCAGACCGCUGGUGUUCGUGAAAUGCGUACGAGCCUCGGGCGAUCAAUGCUGAUAUGCUCAAAAGCCAAACGUCGGCAACCAACCGACAAUCACUGCCCCUUGGGGCAAACCGACCAAUAGGUCAUCAAACUGUAAGGAAGCAAUAGAACAGACCACUCAGGUCAACUAGGAUGGAACAACUCAACAUCGUCUCCAAUGUAUGCAAGUACUGCUCAAUGUCAACUAACUGUAUACUCAAGAACCGACCAAUAGGUCACACGAAUGUCACAUCAUGUAUCACUGAAGUCCAGAACUACCGUAAGCCACUAGCCGACAAUACAACCCCUCAGGGUACACCGACCUCAACGGUCAUCGAACGACAGAAGUCAAGGAACCGACUGAAUAGGUUACAGAUACAAGAUACAAGAACUGACCAAUCAGGUCACUGAUACAAAGUACGAGAACCGACCAACCAGGUCAUUAAUACGAAGUACGAGAACCGACCAACCAGGUCACUGAUAUCACAUACAAGUAAACUACUCUACUCCUACACAUGAUACUAAGUAUGGAAACAUCUGAGUAGAGUAUAACCAAAACGACAUGGGUGCUAGGCUCAACACUAUAUAUGAAGAUAUAUACAUGCCAAAUAACAAUGAGAGUAAGGGUAAGAAACCAUCACCGAGCGUGCACCACUGUACCGACUUCGGAUCGAAAUACCUACCUGUAUGAAUGUCGCGCCUGUCUCCUGACUGCGAAAGAAAGUCAACCGGACCUAAGGAAGGUCCACUGGGUUAGUGUCUAACCCACAACUAAUAACCACUAAAUCCACAACCCACAAACAAACCCACAGAGAUCGGUUUCCCAAACCGAUCGCCGUAAUACGCCGGAAGUCCCGUAAUCGCACGGGGACUCCGUCGGGACCCACGAACUAUCCCGGAACAUACCGACUCGAGCUACGAGUCACCCGCUGCCACUAAGCAUAAAUAAUCAUGCAUCAUGGCAGUGAACACAACUCCUCAUGUCGAAACAAUUAUCGUCGGAUAAUCGUUUCGAUCCGGAUUCCCGGAAGUGUCUAAUUCGACACCGGAACCCACCGUCGCUCACCUGUGAUUUUUGAACUCUCGAAACGAUGCGGGUGACCAGCCAACAAGGCUCAGCGACUACACCAUAGCUCACGAGGCACCGUCGGAAUAAUUUCAAACCGAAAACGCGUUCCGUCGGCGGAUUUUGCCGACGAAUGCACCGGAAGUCAAUCUUCGGUCUUCGCAAAGGCUUGAGGCCUUGGACAAUCAGUCCAGAGGUCACCCAUUGCCUGUACACGCUGCCCACAGUGACCACGACAAACAAAAUUGCAUAAAAGCCCUCCCAAUUACCCGAAAUCACAUUAUUUUAUGUGAUUUCGGCGCUUUUAUGGUC